rnacentral:rRNA from 1 species
GACAGAGGUGCCGAGCGUUAGGCGGAAUCACUGGGCUUAAAGCGUGUGUAGGCGGACCGUUAAGUACCUUGUGAAAUCCCCCGGCUCAACCGGGGAACGGCUGGGUAUACUGGCGGUCUUGAGCCAUCCAGGGGCAGUCGGAACAGACGGUGGAGCGGUGAAAUGCGUAGAUAUCGUCUGGAACGCCGAAGGUGAAAACAGACUGCUGGGGAUGCGCUGACGCUGAGACACGAAAGCCAGGGGAGCGAACGGGG